rnacentral:ncRNA from 1 species
CGACCUCAGAGCAGGCGAGGUCAACCGCUGAAUUUAAGCAUAUUAUUAAGCGGAGGAAAAGAAACUAACUAGGAUUUCCUUAUUAGCGUCGAGCGAACAGGAAAGAGCCCAGCACCGAAUCCCGCGGUUCCGCAGUAGGGAAAUGUGGUGUUUGGGAGGAUCCUUUUAUCCCGAAGUAUCGCGUCGCGUCCAAGUCUAUCUUGAAUGGGGCCACUUACCCGCAGAGAGUGCCAGGCCCGUAGAGAACGGUGCGCGUCUCGGGAGGAUUCCUCCUUGGAGUCGGGUUGCUUGAGAAUGCAGCUCUAAGUGGGUGGUAAAUUCCAUAUAAGGCUAAAUACGACCACGAAACCGAUAGCGAACAAGUAUCGUGAGGGAAAGUUGAAAAGAACUUUGAAGAGAGAGUUCAAGAGUACGUGAAACCGUUCAAGGGUAAACCUAAGAAACCCAAAAGAUUGAACGGGGAGAUUCAUCGUCAGCGACGCUGGCUUCGCGUCGGUGGGCGAUGUCCCGCGGGGUCCUCGCGGCCCGUCCUGCGCGGACACUCUGCCGUGCGUCGAUGUCGCCGGUAGUACGGCACGCGUCAAACCCUCGGUCGCCCGGCCGGCUGCCCGGCGGUAUACGCAAGGUAUCAGGCCGCAACUCGGGCGUGCUCCGGCGCGCGCGUCUCUGCGUCGAGACCGUCGCAAGCGCGCGCCACGGUACACGGAGGCUAACGGACCUGGCGCCGUCACCGGUCCUGGCCCGCUGUUGGUCGUACUAUUAACCUUCGACUGGCCUGCGAACGUUCCUCGCCUCGCGUGGGGGACCUAUACCGGUCGGCGACGCUACUACUUUGGGUACUCUUAGGACCCGUAUUGAAACACGGACCAAGGAGUCUAACAUGUACGCGAGUCAUUGGGACUUUGCGAUAUCUAAAGACGUAAUGAAAGUGAAGGUCGGCCCUGGUUGCCGACCAAGGGAGGAUGGGCUGCGUCGCUAUGCGGCUCCGCACUCCCAGGGCGUCUCGUUUUCAUCGCGAGAAGAGGCGCAUCCAGAGCGUACACGUUGGGACCCGAAAGAUGGUGAACUAUGCCUGGUCAGGACGAAGUCAGGGGAACCCCUGAUGGAGGUCCGUAGCGAUUCUGACGUGCAAAUCGAUCGUCGGAACUGGGUAUAAGGGCGAAAGAUUAAUCGAACCAUCUAAUAGCUGGUUCCCUCAGGACAGCUGGCACUCAGUCGUUACGCACGGAACGCGCGCGAGUCUCAUCUGGUAAAGCGAAUGAUUAGAGGCCUUGGGGCCAAAACGACCUCAAGCUAUUUUCAAACUUUAAAUGGGUGAGAUCUCUGACUUUCUUAAACUAUGAAGUCACGAGUAUCUCGGAUCAGAGUGCCAAGUGGGCCAUUUUUGGUAAGCAGAACUGGCGCUGUGCGAUGAACCAAACGCAGAGUUAAGGCGCCCAACUCGACGCUGAUGGGACACUAUGAAAGGCGUUGGUUGCUUAAGACAGCAGGACGGUGGCCAUGGAAGUCGUCAUCCGCUAAGGAGUGUGUAACAAC